UUAAGCGACUAAGCGUACACGGUGGAUGCCCUGGCAGUCAGAGGCGAUGAAGGACGUGCUAAUCUGCGAAAAGCGUCGGUAAGGUGAUAUGAACCGUUACAGCCGGCGAUGUCCGAAUGGGGAAACCCAGUGUGAUUCGUCACACUAUCGUUAACUGAAUACAUAGGUUAACGAGGCGAACCGGGGGAACUGAAACAUCUAAGUACCCCGAGGAAAAGAAAUCAACCGAGAUUCCCCCAGUAGCGGCGAGCGAACGGGGAGCAGCCCAGAGUCUGAAUCAGCUUGUGUGUUAGUGGAACGGUCUGGAAAGUCCGACGGUACAGGGUGAUAGUCCCGUACACCAAAAUGCACAGGUUGUGAACUCGAAGAGUAGGGCGGGACACGUGGUAUCCUGUCUGAAUAUGGGGGGACCAUCCUCCAAGGCUAAAUACUCCUGACUGACCGAUAGUGAACCAGUACCGUGAGGGAAAGGCGAAAAGAACCCCGGCGAGGGGAGUGAAAAAGAACCUGAAACCGUGUACGUACAAGCAGUGGGAGCACCUUCGGGUGUGACUGCGUACCUUUUGUAUAAUGGGUCAGCGACUUAUAUUCUGUAGCAAGGUUAACCGUAUAGGGGAGCCGCAGGGAAACCGAGUCUUAACUGGGCGUUAAGUUGCAGGGUAUAGACCCGAAACCCGGUGAUCUAGCCAUGGGCAGGUUGAAGGUUGGGUAACACUAACUGGAGGACCGAACCGACUAAUGUUGAAAAAUUAGCGGAUGACUUGUGGCUGGGGGUGAAAGGCCAAUCAAACCGGGAGAUAGCUGGUUCUCCCCGAAAGCUAUUUAGGUAGCGCCUCGUGAACUCAUCUUCGGGGGUAGAGCACUGUUUCGGCUAGGGGGUCAUCCCGACUUACCAACCCGAUGCAAACUACGAAUACCGAAGAAUGUUAUCACGGGAGACACACGGCGGGUGCUAACGUCCGUCGUGAAGAGGGAAACAACCCAGACCGCCAGCUAAGGUCCCAAAGUCACAGUUAAGUGGGAAACGAUGUGGGAAGGCACAGACAGCCAGGAUGUUGGCUUAGAAGCAGCCAUCAUUUAAAGAAAGCGUAAUAGCUCACUGGUCGAGUCGGCCUGCGCGGAAGAUGUAACGGGGCUAAACUGUGCACCGAAGCUGCGGCAGCGACACUAUGUGUUGUUGGGUAGGGGAGCGUUCUGUAAGCCUGCGAAGGUGGCCUGUGAGGGUUGCUGGAGGUAUCAGAAGUGCGAAUGCUGACAUAAGUAACGAUAAUGCGGGUGAAAAGCCCGCACGCCGGAAGACCAAGGGUUCCUGUCCAACGUUAAUCGGGGCAGGGUGAGUCGACCCCUAAGGCGAGGCCGAAAGGCGUAGUCGAUGGGAAACAGGUUAAUAUUCCUGUACUUGGUGUUACUGCGAAGGGGGGACGGAGAAGGCUAUGUUAGCCGGGCGACGGUUGUCCCGGUUUAAGCAUGUAGGCGGAGGUUCCAGGUAAAUCCGGUACCUUUUAACGCUGAGGUGUGAUGACGAGGCACUACGGUGCUGAAGUAACAAAUGCCCUGCUUCCAGGAAAAGCCUCUAAGCAUCAGGUAACAUUGAAUCGUACCCCAAACCGACACAGGUGGUCAGGUAGAGAAUACCAAGGCGCUUGAGAGAACUCGGGUGAAGGAACUAGGCAAAAUGGUGCCGUAACUUCGGGAGAAGGCACGCUGAUAUGUAGGUGAAGUCCCUGCGGAUGGAGCUGAAAUCAGUCGAAGAUACCAGCUGGCUGCAACUGUUUAUUAAAAACACAGCACUGUGCAAACACGAAAGUGGACGUAUACGGUGUGACGCCUGCCCGGUGCCGGAAGGUUAAUUGAUGGGGUUAUCCGUAAGGAGAAGCUCUUGAUCGAAGCCCCGGUAAACGGCGGCCGUAACUAUAACGGUCCUAAGGUAGCGAAAUUCCUUGUCGGGUAAGUUCCGACCUGCACGAAUGGCGUAAUGAUGGCCAGGCUGUCUCCACCCGAGACUCAGUGAAAUUGAACUCGCUGUGAAGAUGCAGUGUACCCGCGGCAAGACGGAAAGACCCCGUGAACCUUUACUAUAGCUUGACACUGAACAUUGAGCCUUGAUGUGUAGGAUAGGUGGGAGGCUUUGAAGCGUGGACGCCAGUCUGCGUGGAGCCAACCUUGAAAUACCACCCUUUAAUGUUUGAUGUUCUAACGUUGGCCCCUGACCGGGGUUGCGGACAGUGUCUGGUGGGUAGUUUGACUGGGGCGGUCUCCUCCCAAAGAGUAACGGAGGAGCACGAAGGUUAGCUAAUCCUGGUCGGACAUCAGGAGGUUAGUGCAAUGGCAUAAGCUAGCUUGACUGCGAGCGUGACGGCGCGAGCAGGUGCGAAAGCAGGUCAUAGUGAUCCGGUGGUUCUGAAUGGAAGGGCCAUCGCUCAACGGAUAAAAGGUACUCCGGGGAUAACAGGCUGAUACCGCCCAAGAGUUCAUAUCGACGGCGGUGUUUGGCACCUCGAUGUCGGCUCAUCACAUCCUGGGGCUGAAGUAGGUCCCAAGGGUAUGGCUGUUCGCCAUUUAAAGUGGUACGCGAGCUGGGUUUAGAACGUCGUGAGACAGUUCGGUCCCUAUCUGCCGUGGGCGCUGGAGAAUUGAGGGGGGCUGCUCCUAGUACGAGAGGACCGGAGUGGACGCAUCACUGGUGUUCGGGUUGUCAUGCCAAUGGCAUUGCCCGGUAGCUAAAUGCGGAAGAGAUAAGUGCUGAAAGCAUCUAAGCACGAAACUUGCCCCGAGAUGAGUUCUCCCUGAGACUUUAAGUCUCCUGAAGGAACGUUAAAGACGAUGACGUUGAUAGGUCGGGUGUGUAAGCGUAGCGAUACGUUGAGCUAACCGAUACUAAUGAACCGUGAGGCUUAACCUU
rnacentral:rRNA from 1 species